UGGCAGGUUCAGUCUUGGUCCAGCCGGCCACCAGCUCGAGUGAGUGGGAACCCGGAAAGUUUAUGAAACCUGGAUGGCUUGAGUGGGAACCCUGAACAUUACUGAAACCACUUGGACAGCUUGAGUUAAUAGGAACCAAAAGAUUCCGGAAAUAUGGACAGCGUGUGAGUGAGAAACAGGAAGAUUCCUGAAACUUGGUCAGUCUUAGCGAGUUAAAACUGAUAAGAUUCGUGAAACCUGAAAAAAAGGCGAGGCAGUGUCACCCCGAACACUGCGGGCGUUCAUGCAGCAGUGAGCGACGCUCCAUCGGUGGUUAACAGUCGUGUUGCAUAACUCUUCCUUCACGGUAUCAAACUCCCACGGUGCUCAGUGAAUUCGUAUUACCGUCAAGUGUUGCUCGCCUACUGCUACGAUGUAGCUGACUACUCUGCCAAAUAGUUGUGUAGUGCGUGUUUAGUGACUACCUGGCCCCCGCCUCUCACGAGAUAGUCAACUAAAGCUAUCACGAGAUAGUCAACUGAAGCCAGGUGUAAACUUAACUUUAUCCACCGAGAUAACACCAGUGGGACAAGAAAGGGGUUAAAAACAACCCGAUCUGGUUACUUACAGCCCAGUGUUGCCACCAGGUCUUCAAGGUCAAGAGUUCGUACUGUAGCACUCAGGAGGACUUGCAGGUAUACGCAGGUCACCAGACAAGGAUAUCACAUCACCAAUAGAGCACCUACCGUACCCAUAAUACACCUGUGUAAGAAUAUCAUCAUCAGUUAAGCUACUCAAAUAGCAGCCUUACUGCCACUGUGUGUAAGGGUCACCAAGCUACAAGGUCACCAUGAGAGUAGCAAUCAUCUCCGCGCUGAUUCAGCUGCUCACCAUCACUUCUUCAAUAGGUAAGUGGGAGAUCCAGGGAGUGUAAGACCCUCACAGACAGGUGAGUGUAAGACCCUCACAGACAGGUGAGUGUAAGACCCUCACAGACAGGUGAGUGUGAGACCCUCACAAACAGGUGAGUGUAAGACCCUCACAAACAGGUGAGUGUAAGACCCUCACAAACAGGUGAGUGUAAGACCCUCACAAACAGGUGAGUGUAAGACCCUCACAAACAGGUGAGUGUAAGACCCUCACAAACAGGUGAGUGUAAGACCCUCACAGACAGGUGAGUGUAAGACCCUCACAAACAGGUGAGUGUAAGACCCUCACAGACAGGUGAGUGUAAGACCCUCACAGACAGGUGAGUGUAAGACCCUCACAGACAGGUGAGUGUAAGACCGUCGCAAAUAGGUGAGUGUAAGUCCCUCUCAAACAGGUGAGUGUAAGACCGUCACAAACAAGUUGAGUGUAAGACCGUCACAAACAAGUUGAGUGUAAGAUCGUCACAAACAAGUUGAGUGUAAGACCGUCACAAACAAGUUGAGUAUAAGACCGUCACAAACAGGUUGAGUGUAAGACCGUCACAAGCAAGCUGAGUGUAAGACCGUCACAAACAAGUUGAGUAUAAGACCGUCACAAACAAGCUGAGUGUAAGACCGUCACAAACAGGCUGAGUGUAAGACCGUCACAAACAAGUUGAGUAUAAGACCGUCAAAAACAAGUUGAGUGUAAGACCGUCACAAACAGGUUGAGUGUAAGACCGUCACAAACAGGUUGAGUGUAAGACCGUCACAAACAGGUUGAGUGUAAGACCGUCACAAACAAGUUGAGUGUAAGACCGUCACAAACAGGUUGAGUGUAAGACCGUCACAAACAGGUUGAGUGUAAGGCCGUCAACAACCUGAGUGUGGUAUCCAGAGAGAGAGAGGGUGGGGUGGGUAGGCAGGUGCAUGUAUGUCAGAGUACACUUGUGGUAGUCACACAGGUGAGAGACUAACAUAGUUACCUGGGUAGUAUUAUUGUCAUGUAUCUUGCUAGCAAUAUCUCUCAACAAUGCUGAAGUUUGUGUUGAUAGAAAUACUGUAUUGCAACACUGGCGUCUUGGACAAGGAAAACACUUACCUUUCGUAAAUCGUUCCUUGUGAACUAUCAUGUUCAAGGUGUGAACUGUUAUGUUCGUCGUGUGUACUGCCAUGUUCACCGUGUGUACUGCCAUGUUCACCGUGUGAACUGUCAUGUUCACCGUGUGUACUGUCAUUCGCCCUGUGUAAUGUUAUGUUCACUAUAUAUACUGUCAUGUUCACGGUAUGUACUGUCAUGUUCACCGUGUGUACUGUCAUGUUCACCGUGUGUACUGUCAUGUUCAUAGAAGGUGGCACUUAAUGCCAUAGAAGGUGGCACUUAAUGCCGUAGAAGGUGGGACUUAAUGCCGUAGAAGGUGGCACUUAAUGCCAUAGAAAGUGGCACUUAAUGCCGUAGAAGGUGGCACUUAAUUACAUAGAAGGUGGCACUUAAUGCCGUAGAAGGUGGCACUUAAUGCCGUAGAAGGUGGUACUUAAUACCGCAGAUGGCUCUUAAUGCCGUAGAAGGUAACACUUAAUGCCGUAAAGGUAACACUUAAUGCCGUAAAGGUAACACUUAAUGCCGUAGAAGGUAACACUUAAUGCCGUAGAAGGUGGCACUUAAUGCCGUAGAAGGUAACACUUAAUGCCGUAGAAGGUAACACUUAAUGCCGUAAAGGUAACACUUAAUGCCGUAGAAGGUAACACUUAAUGCCGUAAAGGCAACAAUUAUGCCGUAGAAGGUAACACUUAAUGCCGUAGCAGGCGGCAGGUUGCCCACACUUGGUGUAGUAGUUGUGUGAGGCAGGAGCGACCUGCUCUCAUAGGAAGACUAGUUGUGAGGCAGGAGCGACCUGCUCUCAUAGGAAGACUGGUUGUGUGAGGCAGGAGCGACCCGCUCUCAUAGGAAGACUGGUUGUGUGAGGCAGGAGCGACCUGCUCUCAUAGGAAGACUAGUUGUGUGAGGCAGGAGCGACCUGCUCUCAUAGGAAGACUAGUUGUGUGAGGCAGGAGCGAACUGCUCUCAUAGGAAGACUAGUUGUGUGAGGCAGGAGCGACCUGCUCUCAUAGGAAGACUAGUUGUGUGAGGCAGGAGCGACCUGCUCUCAUAGAAAGACUGGUUGUGUGAGGCAGGAGCGACCUCCUCUCAUAGGAAGACUGGUUGUGUGAGGCAGGAGCGACCUGCUUUCAUAGGAAGACUGGUUGUGUGAGGCAGGAGCGACCUGCUCUCAUAGGAACACUUGAAAGACUACACUUGAUGAAAUACAUAUAACCAAGGAGGAGGUGAAGAAGCUGCUGUGCGAACUUGACACCUCAAAGGCGGUGGGACCAGACAACAUCUCUCCGUGGGUCCUUAAAGAGGGAGCAGAGAUAUUGUGUGUACCAUUAACAAAGAUCUUCAACACAUCAUUUGAAACUGGGCAACUCCCCGAGGUAUGGAAGAUGGCAAAUGUAGUCCCAAUUUUUAAAAAGGGAGACAGACAUGAGGCACUAAUCUACAGACCUGUAUCACUAACGUGUAUAGUAUGCAAGGUCAUGGAGAAGAUCAUCAGGAGAGUGGUGGAGCACCUGGAAAGAAACAAGUGUAUAAUUGACAACCAGCACGGUUUCAGGGAAGGAAAAUCCUGUGUCACAAACCUACUAGAGUUUUAUGAUAAGGUGACAGAAGUAAGACAAGAGAGAGAGGGGUGGAUCGACUGCAUUUUUUUGGACUGCAAGAAGGCCUUCGACACAGUUCCUCACAAGAGGUUACUGCAAAAGCUAGAGGAUCAGGCACACAUAACAGGAAAGGCACUGCAAUGAAUCAGAGAAUACCUGACAGGGAGGCAACAACGAGUCAUGGUACGUGACGAGGUGUCAGAGUGGGCGCCUGUGACAAGCGGGGUUCCACAGGGGUCAGUCCUAGGACCUGUGCUGUUCUUGGUAUAUGUGAACGACAUAACGGAAGGGAUAGACUCAGAAGUGUCCUUGUUUGCAGAUGAUGUGAAGUUAAUGAGAAGAAUAAAAUCGGAUGAGGAUCAGGCAGGAUUACAAAGAGACCUGGACAGGCUACAAGCCUGGUCCAGUAACUGGCUCCUUGAGUUUAACCCUGCCAAAUGCAAAGUCAUGAAGAUUGGGGAAGGGCAAAGAAGACCGCAGACACAAUAUAGUUUAGAUGGCCAAAGACUGCAAACUUCAUUCAAGGAAAAAUAUCUGGGGGUGAGUAUAACACCGAGCAUAUCUCCUGAGGCGCACAUCAAUCAGAUAACUGCUGCAGCAUACGGGCGCUGGCAAACCUACGGAUAGCGUUCCGAUACCUCAGCAAGGAUUCGUUCAAGACUCUGUAUACCAUUUACGUCAGGCCCAUACUGGAGUAUGCAGCACCAGUUUGGAAUCCACUUCUAGUCAAGCACGUCAAGAAAUUAGAGAAGGUGCAAAGGUUUGCAACAAGACUAGUCCCAGAGCUACGGGGAUUGUCCUACGAAGAAAGGUUGAGGGAAAUCGGCCUGACGACACUGGAGGACAGGAGGGUCAGGGGAGACAUGAUAACGACAUAUAAAAUACUGCGCGGAAUAGACAAGGUGGACAAAGACGGGAUGUUCCAGAGAUGGGACACAGACACAAGAGGUCACAAUUGGAAGUUGAAGACUCAGAUGAAUCAGUCAUAGAGUAGUCAAGCCGUGGAAUGGCCUAGAAAGUGAAGUAGUGGAGGCGGGAACCAUACAUAGUUUUAAGGCGAGGUAUGAUAAAGCUCAUGGAGCAGGAAGAGAGAGGACCUAGUAGCAAUCAGUGAAGAGGCGGGCCCAGGAGCUGUGACUUGACCCCUGCAACCACAAAUAGGUGAGUACAAAUAGGUGAGUACAAAGAAGACUUCUUAGUACCUGUAACAGGAACGUCAAGAAGCUACAGUUAUAACUUGAGAAAAAAAAGUGGAGUCUUAGGUACUGUAUAGAAGAAAAGAAUCUCUUGUAAAUAUCAUGUUGUGGGUAUUAUGUACCAUUAUUAUGAUACAAUGUAACAUGUUGUGGGUAUUAUGUACCAUUAUUAUGAUACAAUGUAACAUGUUGUGGGUAUUAUGUAACAUUAUUAUGGUACAGUAACAUGUUGUGGGUAUUAUGUACCAUUAUUAUGAUACAAUGUAACAUGUUGUGGGUAUUAUGUACCAUUAUUAUGAUACAGUAACAUGUUGUGGGUAUUAUGUACCAUUAUUAUGAUACAAUGUAACAUGUUGUGGGUAUUAUGUACCAUUAUUAUGGUACAGUGUAACAUGUUGUGGGUAUUAUGUACCAUUAUUAUGGUACAGUGUAACAUGUUGUGGGUAUUAUGUACCAUUAUUAUGGUACAAUACAAUGUAACAUGUUGUGGGUAUUAUGUAGAUGAAUGGUUCAGAGAACCGACAUGUUGAUAAAUUAGACACAUGUGCAACUCUUGGGUAUCUUUAUUGAGGAAACGUUUCGCCACACAGUGGCUUCAUCAGUCCAUACGUAGGAGAAACUUGAA